CUGGGCUUGACUGCAGUGAUAGCAGCAACUGUUGUCAUUGUAAUUCUACUGAGACGCAACAAUUGCAAUCUUCAGUGUGGCAAAACGCGACCACCUGCUGACGAUGAACUACGCCCUAUGAUGGAAGAAAAAAGCAAUGAAGACAUAACGACAAGAACGUUCCAGGAAUAUUUAGUGAAAAACAUCGAAGAAAUGUACCCGGAUAUGCUUGAUUCCUGCUAUUUCGUGC